rnacentral:rRNA from 1 species
UACGUAGGGUGCAAGCGUUAAUCGGAAUUACUGGGCGUAAAGCGUGCGCAGGCGGCUUUGCAAGACAGAUGUGAAAUCCCCGGGCUCAACCUGGGAACUGCAUUUGUGACUGCAUGGCUAGAGUGCGGCAGAGGGGGAUGGAAUUCCGCGUGUAGCAGUGAAAUGCGUAGAUAUGCGGAGGAACACCGGAUGGCGAAGGCAAUCCCCCUGGGCCUGCACUGACGCCUCAUGCACGAAAGCGUGGGGAGCAA